CCUGCAUAUGCAUAAUGAUUUCUUUAUCAAAGCAAUCAUGUACAGUCAUUGCACUAUGUCUCUAAAGACACAACACCCCUAAAUUGAACAACAAAAACAAGGAUCAAAAUCGUCGAUCAGCAAUUUCACGCAGCGAGCAACAAAAGCAAAGGCAAAUAAUCGCGUGAUGGUGAAGGGAAAAACAAAACUCUUCACUUCCCACCCUAAACCCUCAAUUCUUCAACAUUUUCCCCAAAUUCACAACCCAGAUCUUCAAAGCAAAGCCUAGAAGGUUCAAAUCGCAACCCAGAAGCUUCGAACCCAAAUCGGCCAUAACCGCGACAUCAUCUCCAUAUUCCCCUUUCCAGAUUCGUGUCCUCUUACUCCCGUUUCCGGCGCCGUCAACUCCUCCCUCUUCCUCUCUGUCCAAAUCGCACCACCACAGCUUCCUCUCUUCCAAAUCAACCACCACCGAGCCCUCUCUUCCCUUCACCCUCGCAACCGUGUCAACCCACCACAACCGAACCCUUCUCCUCAAAACGCGAACCAGCCUCCAUCUCCCACAUCUCCGAUCUGAAACCGACACCACCACUGCCUCCUCUCUGAAGUCGCGCUGCCACCACCACCUCUGGGUUUGCCACCGACAGUUGAUGAAGGAGACUGGAUAUGACUCUGUUGUUACUUGUUAGCCACUGAGAGUUUCCACAAGCAAGGAGUAGAAAGGGGUCUUAGGAUUGUUCAUUUACGUUUUUACCCUUUUGGCAUUCAUUCAAUUUUAACCGUUCAAUUAAAAUAUAUUAAAUCUAACGGUGAUUAUGCCUGAUCUAUCGGCACCUUUAUUUUAAUUUGGUGAUCCAUUUAGAUAUAAGAUUGUUGAGUUUUCUUAUUAUGAAUCAUAUCUUUAAAUAGGCUAAGAUUAGAUGCCAUAUCUAGAAGAUUCCUAUUACGAGUAACAAAUCUGCCUUAGAUUUUGAAUUUUUUUAAAGUAACCAGCAGUAAGCCCAAUUUCAACCCUAUAGGUUGCCUCGUGUAAGUUCCUGCCCUAAUCACUUGGCAGCACACAUUCGCGCCUUCUCCUUUCCCUCUCCAACGAGUUGUGAGCACAGUGAACGCCACAAAGUUUCUUCCUCUCACCCACGAUGAAAGAGCUUGUAUUAGCGGCUAUCACCAUAGGUGUAGUGAUCGUGGCGGCUUUUUGUUCUUGUUGUGGUGGUCCACCUUAUAACAACAAGUCAGAAGAUGAAGAUCCAGAGAAGGCUAUUCAAUGUUGAUCAAGUGAGAUGCCCCAAGAAGAUCACAAGUAGAAAAGUGCUUUGAAGGGAUGGAAAGUUUGCAAAUGUCAUCUUUAAUUAUUUUGAAGGUUAUUAUAUGACCUAUACUAGUAACAUUUUUAUUUAUGACUUGAGUUUUUGAAUAUUUAUAUCGUAGA